CUUUCAACAACGGAUCUCUUGGUUCUGGCAUCGAUGAAGAACGCAGCGAAAUGCGAUAAGUAAUGUGAAUUGCAGAAUUCAGUGAAUCAUCGAAUCUUUGAACGCACAUUGCGCCCCUCGGUAUUCCGGGGGGCAUGCCUGUUCGAGCGUC
rnacentral:rRNA from 16 species